rnacentral:lncRNA from 1 species
AGUAAAUAUCUACGUUUUCUCUAUGUCUUAUGUCGCAAUAAUGAUGAAACUGAUAUGUAGGUCCCAGACCUUUAGACUCUCUGACUAUAUCAGGGAUCUCAAUGAGUAACUUGGUACUCAACUGUGUGUGCCGUCUGAUUUUUCAUUAAUUUUAUAACGGUAAAUGAUCAUUCUCGGACAUACAAAAAAUAUAAAAAUCUCAAUUCAUGUACCCCA